rnacentral:lncRNA from 1 species
AUUUCAUUUAUAAAUAAAUAUUUUAAGUUAUCAUCUCAUGCAUUAGUUAUAAAACUACACUGUUUUUAUUUCAGGAUUAUCAAACAUGUAGAGUCACUGCUUUUGUCAGGACAAUUAAUUAUAUAAAUAGUAGGGUAGGUCCGUCAUGCGGGCGGAUAAAUAAAUGAACAAAUAAUAUAAAUUAGAGCAAAUCUCCAAAAUAGCACAUUUCUAAGUUUAUAUCACAAAAAUAGCACUCAAAAACUAAAAUGACCAAAAUAGCAUUUUAUCUUUGGAAAAUUUUAAUUUUUUUUAUUUUUCAAAAUUUGAAAUCUUGUCCCCAAAACCUCAUUUCUCAACUCUAAACCCUAAACUCUAAACCCUAAACUCUAAACCCUAAACUCUAAACCCUAAACCCUAAACCCUAAACCCUAAACUCUAAACCCUAAACCCUAAACUCUAAACUCUAAACCCUAAACCCUAAAUCCUAAACCCCACCAUUUAACUCU